GUCGUCUGGUUUGGAGAUCUUUAUGAUAUUCAACAAUUUCCUUCCAGCAGACAAGAUCUAUUUGUUCGACUGUCAGCUUCAGAAAUAGGAAAAGCAAGAGCUAAUCUUAAGGUGAAGAGAGCAGUGAUAAUUAUAGCUAUUCUGAUUGGAUUAACUUGUGGGAUGAUUUUAAUUGGCUUUUACAUUUGCAAGUGGAGAGCAUUUUAUGAUUAUUAGCCAAGUUGGACAAAAACGGGGUAGAUUGAAUAUUGAGGAAGAUGAUGAUGGGCAACCAAGGAAAAAGGUUCAUCUAGGUGUUCCAGCGACACAAUGGAUUUCAGUUUACAAUGCUCGCCAGCCAAUGAAACAGAGGUGCAUUUUUUGAAUGUUAUGUUUUUUUUUUUACCCUUGAAGUAGUAUCAUUUGUCAUUUCUGUUGAUAUUACUAGCAGUAUUCUGCCUAUAUUUCUCUCUGUUAAUUUUUAAAUGCUUGGAUUGGAACCAUAUACAACUUUCUUAAUCUCUCUAUUUUUCUUUGUUGCCAACCAUAAGCAAGAACAAGUGCCCUACCAGCUGUCAUGUUCUUCUUCUC